rnacentral:lncRNA from 12 species
ACAGGAGAGAGACCAUAUACAGCUUGCAAAGCCUAAACCAUGCGCUGUCUGGGCUUUUACAGAAAAAGUUGAGGAUGACUGACAUAGAGAAAGAAAUCAAAGCUUUAAUGUGGAAGGAAUAAUGACAUAAUUUCAUCAUGUGAAAACUCAUUUCUACAUCAUCCAAGAGGGUCUACAGUCAUGGGAUAUGUGGGCUUAGGCCAAACAUAACUGGGGAGGAGUUGGUUCUCUUAUUCCUCAGUGUUUGUGUUGAAGGGAGAAGAAUGAUAUACAAAGACUCCUCCUUGCCUGUACCCCAGUUUGCUGGUAGCCAUUGGAAGAUGGGAGACAUGAGAUGUUAAAAACCAGUGAGCCUUUGAAUAAGGGCUGGUUAUCUGUUGCAUCUUUUCUUCCUUUAGUAGACAUGGCUUCCUAGAGGGCUGAGGGAAGAGGAGAUUCAGACAUUACUGGCACCCAUACUUCAAAACAUCUUGCACAGACUGAACUAAAGCUACCUAAGAUAAAGGCAUUAUGUAUGCUUCCACACACCUUCUUAAUCAAUAAAGUGAUAAAGUGAUUGCUGAUUGGGUGCCUGGUUUCCAUGGUUACCACAAAUUCUUUUUGAGAGAAAUUCUAUUCUUUUCUAGCUUACCUUUUCCAACUCACACACUUUUUAAAAAGUGAUGUUUGUAGUUCCUGCCACUCCAGUGUCAAUGAGAGAAUUUAUUUUAUAAUGUGUAUGAACUAGCAGCUUCUCAGAAAAAAAGCGUUGUUGUCAGAAUGAAGUCAUCUGUUUGGGUCGAACGAGGAGGUGGCUCUGAAACGUGCAUGUUGUUGACCUUUACAGUCCGAUGUGUUGCUGAUUGCACCCCCGCAGAACUUGAUGAAGCUUUGCAGUCAGACCCUGUUACCCUGCCUGAGUUGAAUUCCUGCAGCCUCUGUGAUUUCCUGUUGGAAGCUCAGUAAGUCUGAAUCUUCUCACCUCUGUGUUCUUCUGCUCCUUUCCUGGACCACAGGAAUGCUUAUUAUGUUUCUGAGCACAGCCAUGUAUUUUCAGUGUAUUAAAAAUAUUUAUUAAUGCUAUGUGGAUUUUUGGUGGGGAGGGGAGGCACAGUUGAUAACUUACAGAAUAAUGUUGGCCAGAAAUUGAACAUAAUCAUUUUGGAGUUUUUGUAGGCCUUUGUCUAUAUAUAUUCAUGCAUACAUACAUACACAUAUUUUUUUGUGUGUGUAUAUAUAUCUUAAGAUAAAUGGAAUCAUGUUGUUAUACAAUUGUUACAAUAUUAUUAUACCUACUGUAAUCAUUCUAUGUAUCUUCCUUUCUUUACAUAUUAUUUCUUACAUAUUAUUCCUUAAUACUUACAUCACAAUUUGUUUAGCCAUUGCUUUAUUAGUGGACAUUUAGAUUGUUUCUAAUGGUUCACAACUAGAAGCUAUGCUGUAAUGAACAUACAUUUAUAUACAUAUAUAUAUUUUUCUGAACAUGUGUACACAUUUCUGUAGUGUAGAUUCUCCAUAGUGGAACUUAUGAAAGAAAGCUCAUGACUAAUUUUGUGAGACUCUACUAAAUUAUCCUUCAAGAGGGCUGUACUCUUGAAGUGUGCUUUGUUUCCCCAAACCCUAGACCAGUCAGAUCUAGGCUUUAUCACAAGGUAACAUUCAUGUGAAAUGACAAUAUUUGUUCCACAUCACAGAGUAGUCAGAAGAUGCUUCUGUACUGGGAAGCAGGUGGCUGGGAGCUCUGUGGGCCUCAGGCAUCUCCUCAUCACCCCAAAAGUGAAGAGAGAAAUAUUUCAGCACCUCUCACCCAUUCCCAGCAUAGUCAUGGGUGAACUCUGACUCGGACAUCAGCAUAAUAUCAACCUUGAACCUUUGUCCAUCUGAUGAAUGAGAAUAUGCCAUUAUUAUUUGAACAUGCAUUCCUCUCAUUUCCAGUGAGAUUGGUGGUCUUUUUAUGUCUUUUUUU